rnacentral:rRNA from 1 species
GACGAACGCUGGCGGCGUGCUUAAUACAUGCAAGUUGAGCGAUGAAGAUUGGUGUUUGCACCCUUUUGAAGAGCAGCGAACGGGUGAGUAACGCGUGGGAAAUCUCCUUUUGAGCGGGGGACAACAUUGGGAAACGAAUGCUAAUCCCGCAUAACAACUUUAAACAUAGGUUUUAUGGUUGAAAGAUGCAAUUGCAUCACUCAAAGAUGAUUCCGCGUCGUAUUAGCUAGUUGGUGAGGUAAAGGCUCACCAAGGCGAGGAUACAUAGCCGCACUGAGAGGGUGGUUAGCCCACCUGGGACUGAGACCCGGCCCAAACUGCCUCGGGAAGGAGCAGGACGGAAACGUCGGGAAUGGGGGGAAGUCUUAGCGAGCAACGCCGGGGGAGGGAAGAAGGUUGUCGGGUCCGAAAACUCGGUUUAUAGGGAAGAAAGCUCGUGGGAGUGGAAAGCUCAUGAAGUGACGGUAACUACUCAGAAAGCGACGGCUAACUACGUG